UGAAGCCUGCGAGAGGGGGAAAGAACACGGCACGCUUACCCUCGGGCUCUGCAGGCUGGCCUCUCCAGCCCACACGCGUGCACCGCUCUCCCCCCACAGGACCACGGGGCUGGCGUGUCCCACUGGGUGGCUCCACGGCACGGGCCCGGACAGCCUGGAGUCCGAACCCCAGCUCCGCCCAAACCUGCACGAGGUCUCUAAGCCCCCUGUGCCUUAGUUUCCUCAUCUGCAAAAUGGGGAUAAUAUCACUUCUGCUCAGACUGCUGUGAAGACGGACUAAAUGGACCCAGGAAAAGCAUUUAGGAUGGUGCCCGGCACACAGUAAACACAAAAUAAAUGACGUCUGCUACUACUGUCAUCCGCUGAGAGUCUGAGAAGAGACAGAGAAGCUUCCCUGAAGGGACCGUUCUGCGUCUCAGAGAAGUACAACCACACAGAGGAAAUGCAAGGAGCUUCCAGGUCUGCUUGGUCUCGCCGAAUGGAAACUCCUAGAAUCCCAGCAUUGUCUGCCCUAAAGUCUGUCCAUGAGUCUGAGGCCUUCCUCCCCAACCAGCUCCAUUACCAGAUGACACAGCCUGGAAGGAGUCAGAAAAAGCCUUCAAACAGAAAUUAGAAAGCUAAGUGCCUAGAAAAGCUUUUCAUAUUUUGGAGAGCCUUUGUGCUGGAGAAGAAAAGAACCUUGAACUUGUGUCGAAAGCCUUAGGAUUGGGGCAAGUCGCUUGAUCUCUUGGUGCCUCAGUUUCUUGAUCUUUAAAAUGGAGCUAAUACUGCCCACCUGGCCAGGAUCAAGAUGAGCCCUGUUAUAAAUGAGGUGUUAUGCACAAGUCUGGUCCUUCCAUAGGGCCCACAGGUUUUGUUAACUUAUUCAUGGUAUACAGGGGGUUGGGGGACUAAUUUAGAAUAAACUCUGGGUUUAAUACUUUAAGCAUAACCUUUAUAAGUUUCCCUUUAUAUUUAUAAAAAAACAAACUGGCUUUCCCACCAGAUUCAUCUUUAUAUUGGCUUAAAAUUGUUCCCCAAAGGGGAGCUCUGGCUAUCAGGUGUGCAAAGAAUACCAGAGAAGAACUGACUGGAUCUCUUUUUUUAAAGGUCAUUCUAGAACUCACCUGACGGCUAAUGCUCCCAUGCAGCCACCCAUUCAUCAUCCUGUUUAUCACUCUGGUGGGCCAAAUAAAAUCUCAGGCUGUCCCUGCAAGAUACUGCCUCCCCAGUCACCAAUGGAGACUCCCACAAGAGUGCUGUAAUAAUGGUGGAAAUUAAUGAUGGGAAACCGCUCUAACACAGACUAGAGAGAACAGACGGGGGAGCCAUAGAGCAAGAACAAGUGUCAAUUACAGACCCUAACAGGGAAAGAUGUAGGUUGCAUCUCCUACAGGAAAUCAACUACCCCAGCAACUCAGCCAGUAAGAAGCUGUCAUCACGCUGAACUCUUGCUUUUCUCCAAUGGAUUUUCAUUCAGAACAACCCCUCUCAACUUCCUCCUCCAUAAAGUAACCUUCCUCUCCUUUACGAUAGGACUUGUCUAUGGUUUUGCUAUACCCUGCGUGCCCUGAGUUGCAAUUCUGCUUCCAAAUAAACCCAUGUUUUGCUGGUAAAAUAAUGGGCUUUUAGGUUUUAGAGAGCAGGGGAGAAGGGCAGAGGGAAAGAGAGAAUCUCAAGUAGGUUCCAUGCUCAGUGCAGAGCCUGACAUGGAGCUUGAUCCCACCAUCCUGGGAUCAUGGCUUGAGCCAAAAUCAAGUCAGAUGCUCAACCGACUGGGCGAUCUAGGUGCCUCAAUGGACUUUUAUUUUUAAGGUUACCAUUAUUUGGUGAUGAGAGGUGGGAUCCAGAGAAGACCUGCAGCAGCUUGGGAGCUGGUGAGCAACCAGGGCAGGUGCCCACGGAGUUCAGUGAGCUGCCUUCCUGUUGACCUUGGAGUUUCGAAGGUCACACAAAUGAUUUUAUCGACCUCCCUCUGUGUGUCUGUAGACCUUGCUCUGGUAGAACGCAGUAUGCUUGCACAUCACAAACAUGAACCGGAGCCCCGAGGGCUGAGAUAACGUUUGUAGCUGGCAUCAUCCAGUCUGCACACGAUGAGGGAAUGUUGCAGGCCACUGCACUCCCUUUGCUGAUUACCCUAAACCCUCUAUAAACCCCCCUGGGCCAGGUAGAAACUUCGGAGUUGGCUUUUGGACAAGAGCCUGCCUUCUCCCCAGGUGGCCAGCCUUUUGAAUAAAGCUUAUAUUCCUUUUCAAUCAAAAGCUCAUCUCUUUGAGUGCUGGCAUCUUCAGGGACAGGAAGCCCCACUUGGGUUUGGUAGCACUUUAACCCACCAUUGAUAAAAGGCAUGCUUCAACACUGGAGAGGCCUAAUUGCUUCCUUAAAAACAGCCACGCUUCAGUCUUCUCACCGUGUAUUACCGGAAGACAAAGACCUUGAGCAUCACACGUUGCAACCUGGACUUUUUUUCUGGAGGUGUCUUUUCCAAUAGACAAGAUUCUGUUCAACCUUACCAGCAAGGCACUGUUGACCAAUCCUGUGCUGACAAACACCAGAGAACAGACUCCUGGAUCCACGAGACCCCUCUAAAGAGAGCACCACAGCCUGACUGGACCUGCACGCCAUCCGAUGACCUGAAAAUCCAGAUUUCCCGGCCCCGGAGCAGACGACAUCUGAUGAGAUCUCUGGAUCAGGCCUGUUAGAAGGUUCGGGGUUCACAGGAGUUUCUUUCAUUUGGACAUUAAUGGACUCCUCUGGAGUCUUAGCCGAAAUUCAUGGUUUCUGAAUUUUCGACUUUACUGUAUUAUUAGUAAUACGCCUAAGUUCCAGCAGUUCUGAGAUAACAAUGCUGCUUUUCAACAUCUUUGAAGUUUUGCUAUUUUGCAAAACUUCGUGUUUAUACCUGCACUGUAUCUUCCCAAAUGCACCCGGUUAAUUCUCCCAGGAGGUUCCUGCAGUAUCCCCUAUUCUGUUCCCAUGAGUGCUUUCAGUGGGGACUCCCAGGAGGUACACGUGACUCUGGGGUUUGUCCCCAUACGAGGGACUUUUCCUUCCCUACGUGGGAGUAAGUGCCCACAAAUAUUUCUCAUUGGCUACUUUCAGAUCUAGGAUCUUGUUUUAAAACCAUCACAUAAUUUGGAACGGUCAUGUUACUUUUGAUUCUGUACUCGGUGCCUGUCAAACCUUUGUAAAAAUGCCGUGACCGAUAAGGACAUGCUCUCUAGCACCUACAGUCUUGAUAAGUAUGGACUACAGAUGGAAGUGGUCCUUGCGACUCGAACGGAUCCCAGUAGUUUCCCAUCUAUACAAUUUUCCACGGACGAGUGAUGUGACACCCAGGAAAGAUCCUUCCUGGCGCUGAGGGACCAAAAAAGGCCAUUGAAUUGUGAAAAACAGACUCUUGCUCCGUGAUGCAUUUGGAGAAGGAUCUUGAUCAAAAGGGGGAAAUGUGAAAAUUAAUAAAGGGACACCUCACUGAAAUGGAGUGGGAAUAAAAUGAGGAACCAUCCUACUCAAUGUCAAUUACAGGAAGAGCUGUUCAUUAUAGACCCCAACAGAAGAAUCCUCAAUUACAGGUCCCAGGAGGGAAUGAAGUGCAUUGCAUCUCCUACAAGAAACUGACUAUCUCAGCCACUGAGGAAGCAUCACCUCCCAACUUCCUCCUCUUUCUCUCUAAAAUAACGUUCCUCUCCUUUGUUUACAACGGGUCCUGCCUGUGGUGCUGCAGUGACUUGCAUGUCCCAAACUUCAAUUCUUUGUUAUUCCUGAAUAAACCCAUUUUUGCUGAUUACCUGCCAAGGCUUGAAGUCACCAUGCAAUCCCUCUUCAGCCUGAUUAGAAUUACUGUCCUGACCAGCACAAGCCGCUGAGGGGGUGGGCGAAAAAUAGAUUCUCUCUGCUUCAGCAAUGCCAAGAAAGAGACUGGACUUUUGGCACUGGCCAGCAUUUUGCCCGUGGGCACUUGACAUUGACUUUUCUUGAAUCGGAGAGGUUGGGUGAUGCUGCUCUGCUCUCAUUUUAUCCCUGGGUUCCAUGUUCAAGUCACUAAGGCUCAAAGAGCCUCCCCACACCCAUCCGGCCAGUAGUGGCAGGGCCGGACUCAAAUCCUGCUGUGCCUGACUGCACCGGUCCACGGUGAGUAUGUGAUGACACCUGAGUGCAGGUAGGGAAGCAGAUCCUGGGUGAUGGCGGCACUUGAGGAUGUCAGACCCAUCGUUGCUUAAUGUUUGAUGAACAAGCAAAUAGACGCACAGACGGGUGGGAGGGGUGUUCCAUGCAUUCCACCCAUUGUACCCCAUCCCGAUCCUCCCACGGCUGGGUGCAUGGCUUCUCAUGUGGGGCCUCUGGCACACUGUGCUUACUUCUUGCAAAGCGCUCAUUUAAUGGGUUCAUGUCUCCCACUUGCCUGUAGAACUUCUCUAUAUUCACGACUUCAUGGUAGGAGCUCGGCAAAUAUUUGAUGCACCGUAUCAGGAGCUUCCCAGAUGUGCUGUUCCUGCAGUACCUUCAUGAAUCGCCCAAGAUCUGGGGACAGUCUGCUUGGGAAUGACACCUGGGUCCAGACGGGCACCUUGAGAUUCUCAAUGCUUUCUGCUCAGCAGGUGCUCUGAAAACUAAGAGCAGGCGUUCGUGGGAGGAGAGUCUGUGGCGGCCAGCCCAGCCCCAACAAUACCUUUCAGACACCUGACAGACUGCAUCUCCUGACCUAUGAAAGGCUUCUCCAUGUGCCGCGUCACUGAGGCUGAAAUUCUCUGCUGCACCUUG